CCAGAUACUGUGCUGAACAUAUGUCGAACUGUGACCAACUCCUUUUCCACAGGUCUCAGGAUGACAGCCCUUUAGCAAGGCAGCUCAGAAUUCAGACACACCUUAGUUUUUACUCUGACCAGGGAAGAAAAGAGUUGGGCCCAUGACCUCUGGAAGCAGGCAUAUGGGGCACAGGCAGAAAAUGCAACUUCUCUGUGCUUCAGUUUCCUUGUUUAUAAAAUGGGGGUUAUAGUGAUGAAGGUGGUGGUGGCAGAGGUACCCAGACCACAGGGUUGAUGUGCAGCACUGCAUACCUUAGUAAACAUUCUAAAAGUCUUAUUGUUAUGAUUAAAGCUCAGCUUCUUUACCAGACUUCCUUCUUAGACAACUGCUAG